UCUUUAUGUAUAAAACAUUUUAAUUAUAUUACAAUGAGAGAAUACGCGAUACCUUCAAGUGUUUGCUAAUAUGUAGCCAGCACCAGGUACUCGUGUACACACACUCGCACACACAAAAAAAUAAACAAAAAAAAAAAAAAGGAAAUUAUAUAACAUCUUCUGAAUGCAUAUUACACAUCCGCUAUAAAGGAACAUAUUCACAGGUCUCUGGCACAGAACUCUCCCGACUCUGCACAGUGUGUCAGCCCUAAACAAACUCCUUGUCAUCCUCAACUAAAGCCAGUUCGCCCUCGACAGCGUGUCACAAAAAGAUACACGAAGAUGCAAGAAUAAAGACAUGAAGGCUUGAAGUGUGGAAAGUGGGAAGCUGACCUAAAGCCUACAGAUAGUUAAAGCUAUUCGAAUUACAUACAGGAAUUCUUAUUAGUCAUGGAAGGAUUAAAAGUGACUGUUUAUUUGGCAGGAAUAAUAUCUCACGGAAGUCAUUGUGUCGAUUUUAGGAGCACCAUUAAUCGGCAGACUUAGGGGUAGAAAGAUGUCUUCGGUAUUUGCAAUUUAGUGCCUUGAUCAGACCCUUAUUUCAUCACAGAUUUCUUUCUUCUCUGCCUGAUGACUUCCCCACACCUCUGAGCUCGAAUCGAAUCUCUGUGCAAUGGCAACAUGAAAGCAAACAUAAAAUCUCAUCUGCGCUCGCUCUGGAGUUUGGGUUUUUAGCCCUCUUCUCUCCAAUGACCCCUAAAUUACACUCUGUUUGUUCUGAGAAGGGAAGCGCGAACAUCUUCUUUUGCCUCUCCAAACCUGAUUUAACAGUCUACAUAAAUUGGUACAAUCUCUGCUUCUUUUUUUGUUUUUUUUUUUAACUUAUUAAAGAAAAUAACUUUUUCCAAGGCACAUCAUUAAAAGAAUUUCCAUAAACACUAUCCAUCCGACAUUCAAGCUAAAUGUUACCACGUCCAGUCAGCCGCUCGUAAACCACUCGUUGCGAGCUUUGCAUGUGCUAUGUACAUUUUUCAAUGACGCCACUGAAAAAUUAUAAUCUCAUAUCUGGCCCCCGAGCUCAUCCCAUUCACUCUGUCGCUUUUCUUACUGGGGAGGUUCUGUGCAAGAGAAUAAUCUUAUUCCAUUAAUAUGGUUUACUCAGUUGUUCAAAAGGACAUUUUUGCUACAAACAGUCAUGUACAAAUCUUUUGACAUGAAUGUAAACUCUUGAUGACAAAAAAAAAACAUUUUUCUCAUGUCUAGUUCAAUUUUUUUUGCCCUCCUGCAGUGUAUGGAGAGAGUGCAGAUUAGGAGGUAAAAUCAUCGAAACAAAAAUAAAGAGUUGGUCACCAAAAUGCACCACAGAGUCAAAAGCAAAACCACCUGCUUGUCAUUUUUUUAAAAA
ensembl:lncRNA